GACGAACGCUGGCGGCGUGCUUAACACAUGCAAGUCGAACGGAAAGGCCCCUUUGGGGGUCCUCGAGUGGCGAACGGGUGCGUAACACGUGAGUAACCUGCCCUUGACUUCGGGAUAACUUCAGGAAACUGGGGCUAAUACCGGAUAGGAAUCCUUGCUGCAUGGUGGGGGUUGGAAAGCUUCGGCGGUUUUGGAUGGACUCGCGGCUUAUCAGCUUGUUGGUGGGGUAGUGGCUUACCAAGGCUUUGACGGGUAGCCGGCCUGAGAGGGCGACCGGCCACAUUGGGACUGAGAUACGGCCCAGACUCCUACGGGAGGCAGCAGUGGGGAAUAUUGCACAAGGGGCGGAAGCCUGAUGCAGCAACGCCGCGUGCGGGAUGACGGCCUUCGGGUUGUAAACCGCUUUCAGCAGGGGCGAAGCUUGUGGUGACGGUACCUGCAGAAGAAGCACCGGCUAACUACGUG
rnacentral:rRNA from 1 species